rnacentral:rRNA from 1 species
UACGAAGGGGGCUAGCGUUGCUCGGAAUUACUGGGCGUAAAGCGUGCGCAGGCGGCUUCUCAAGUCAGGGGUGAAAGCCCAGAGCUCAACUCUGGAAUUGCCUUUGAGACUGAGUGGCUUGAGUGAGACAGAGGAGAGUGGAAUUUCGUGUGUAGGGGUGAAAUCCGUAGACCUACGAAGGAACGCCAAAAGCGAAGGCAGCUCUCUGGGUCCCUACCGACGCUGGGGUGCGAAAGCAUGGGGAGCGAACAGG